UCUAGUAGCUGGUUCCCUCCGAAGUUUCCGAAGUUUAAAAAUAAUAUAAAAUAAUCUUAUCUGGUAAAGCGAAUGAUUAGAGGCCUUAGGGUCGAAACGAUCUUAACCUAUUCUCAAACUUUAAAUGGGUAAGAACCUUAACUUUCUUGAUAUGAAGAUUGAGGUUAUGAUAUAAUGUGCCCAGUGGGCCACUUUUGGUAAGCAGAACUGGCGCUGUGGGAUGAACCAAACGUAAUGUUACGGUGCCCAAAUUUACAACUCAUGCAGAUACCAUGAAAGGCGUUGGUUGCUUAAAACAGCAGGACGGUGGACGUGGAAGUCGUAAUCCGCUAAGGAGUGUGUAACAACUCACCUGCCGAAGCAACUAGCCCUUAAAAUGGAUGGCGCCUAAGUUGUAUACCUAUACAUUACCGCUAAAAUAGAUGAUUUAUAAUUUUUAAUUAUAAAUUUUGAAAUUUUAGUGAGUAGGAGGGUACAAUGGUAUGCAUAGAAGUGUUUGGCGUAAGCCUGCAUGGAGCUGCCAUUGGUACAGAUCUUGGUGGUAGUAGCAAAUAAUCGAAUGAGACCUUGGAGGACUGAAGUGGAGAAGGGUUUCGUGUGAACAGUGGUUGAUCACGAGUUAGUCGGUCCUAAGUUUAAGGCGAAAGCUGAAAAUUUUCAAGUUAUAAUAUACAAAAAAUAUAUAUAAUAUUAUAUAUAUACAAAUAUAAUUAAUAAAAUAUUUUUAUUAUUUAAACACUUGAAUUAUUUUGAACGAAAGGGAAUACGGUUCCAAUUCCGUAACCUGUUGAGUAUACGUUUGUUAUUAAAAAUGGGCCUUGUGCUCAUCCUGGCAACAGGAACGACCAUAAAGAAGCCAUCGAGAGAUAUCGGAAGAGUCUUCUUUUCUGUUUUAUAAUCGUAUUACCAUGGAAGUCUUUCGAAGAGAGAUAUGGUAAAUGGAUUAGAAGAGCAUGACAUUUACUGUUGUGUCGAUAUUUUCUCCUUGGACCUUGAAAAUUUAUGGUGGGGUUACGCAAACUUCUCAACAGGCCGUACCGAUAU
rnacentral:rRNA from 1 species